rnacentral:rRNA from 1 species
CCUAUGGGGGGCAGCAGGCGCGAAAACUUUACAAUGCGGGCAACCGUGAUAAGGAAACCCCGAGUGCCACCACAGGGUGGCUGUCCACCAGUGUAAACAACUGGUGAAGAAAGGGCCGGGCAAGACCGGUGCCAGCCGCCGCGGUAAUACCGGCGGCUCGAGUGGUGGCCGCUUUUACUGGGCUUAAAGGGUCCGUAGCUGGAUCUGUGUGUCCCUUGAGAAAUCCAUCGGCUUAACUGAUGGGCGUUCAGGGGAAACUGCAGUUCUAGGGACCGGGAGAGGUGAGAGGUACUGCCGGGGUAGGAGUGAAAUCCUGUAAUCCCGGUGGGACGACCUAUGGCGAAGGCAUCUCACCAGAACGGCUCCGACAGUGAGGGACGAAAGCUGGGGGAGCAAACCGGAUUAGAUACCCCAGUAGUCC